AUUGUGAUUCUUUCUCCUUGCGUAAAUCGUCUUUAACUUCAAGAAUGCCCAAAUCUGGAUCAAUGUGGAAAUACUUGAGAGCUUUUCCUCGGCCCACUAAUUCAUAGCGCACCUGAUAAAUAAGGAGCCGUGGCAUCUGAGUCUGUUGCCUGAAGACUUCCAACUUUCGUUCCAAUUUCAACAUUAUCAUCUAGAUUUAUAGUUGGCGAAGCAUUCAAGAACACAGGAGGUAUGUCAUUACGGUCCUGAAACAAGAAGUUCCAAACUAAAUUGAAGCAUAAACUUAAACACAAAACAUUAUAAGUAAAUUGGAUCUCCAAAAAAAAAAAAACAUUUGGUAAGAAAAUAUUUCCAGCCGGUUGAUUGCAAAAUCGGACUGUUGUGUUUUGUUUCAUUAAUGUCCUUAAAAAUUAAAAAAUAAGUACCUAGACAUGUCUUGUUUUGUUCUUAAUAUAAUCAAAUUUUGGUAAAUAAAAUUAUUUCCUAAGGCAUCGAAAA